UUAGGGAGCCCAAGGAGGGGGGCGCUCAGCAUCUUCUCAACCACGUCCCUGCUUUUCAGAUCCUUCCUGACCACUUUUCCUUUGUGAUGACUCCCAUCCUGCUUUUUGUUCCUGGGAGUCCUGGAGACCAGCUGCUGUGGGGCCCAGAUUCCCCUCUUGCAGGGCUCUACCUACCCCCUGGCCCCCUUCCUCCUCUGCAGACUUUCCUAGGUCCUGUGCAGGGCAGCUCCUCAGAAGAUCAAGCCCCCAGCCUAAAUGACCGUGUGUCCAGCCUGGGCUACACACCCAUCCCUAGCCCCUGAGCUGAGGAGGGGUCUCAGGGUACAAAUAGAGCUUCUGAGAAGCCCCUACAAGGGAGGCAGUUCUGAGGGGCCUGUCCCACUAUUUCCCAGCUGACUCACAUGCCUCUGGUCUUCCCCGGCUGUGGUCCCUUCCUGGCCACUGCCUGCCUCCAGGCGAACCUUCUCGUAGUAUACCCCCAUCCUCUCCUGCUCUGACAUCUCCUGUUCCCUCUGGGCUGGUGGCCUGGGGAACCCGCUGGGAGGGUUGUGGUAGCGAGCAGUGCUUCUGGGGGCCGGGGCAGGCUGAUGGCAUCAAGUCUGUGCUCCUUAGGCUGGUGAACUACUAAGGAGGUGAACAGGACACAUUCUUUGCCCUCUUCGGGUCUCCAGCUGCGCCUAAGAACUAAGCUGCCAUCAACAGGAGAGAAGCAUACACGUUCUACUAAAGUCUUUACAGGUGCACGGGAGCCUUCACAAGAGAACGAAGACCCAGAGAAGUGACCAGAGCAGGAACGAUCAAUAGCAAACACUCGGGUGACAAGAAACGCUUAGUGAAGAAGCGAAGUGACAGAGGGGUUGGGGCAGGGAGAGAAUGUUGCUGGGAGUCACUGCAAGAUAAGGCUUGUUUGCACAGAUUUCUCUCCGCCUCAUUCAUCUCUGGUGACUUGCAGAACAGUACAGAGCAUUCCUGGGUACCUGCAUCCCGACUCCUUCAAUUUACCAUUUGUGCGUUACCCUUUGUAUACAUCCUAUACACAUCCGAUUCCUGCAACCAAGAAUUCUCUUACGUAACCACAACACACUGAUGGAAACCAGGAAAUUAUAAGACAUACGGUAGUAUUUUCCACUCUGCAGACCUCACUCAGCUUGUCAGAUCUCUGCUUCGUGCAGGGUGCCUGAUGCAUUUAACCCGGGAUAAUCUCUCGUUUUUGUCAUAAAUGAUAACAAUGCCUGGAAAUAUCAUGGUUUUUACUUGUUAAACAUCUACUAAGACAGGAGCUUGGAAUAUAGUGUAUUACCAUUCCCAGCAACACACCGAUGGAAAGGGUUAUAUUUCCAGUUUUACAGUUGAAAAAAGAGAGAGACUGAGAGAGGUGCUGAUAAAAUCCUCCUCUCUUCUGUGAGGACUGAAUGAGGUAGCACGUGGGGAGUGCGUGGCGUAAGGCCAAUGUGGAGAAGGAGAAAAGGGGCUCCGGGGAUUUUCUCCAGCAACGGCUGUCGCCCGCCCCCUAUAGGACAACGGUGUCAGCACAGCAUCUUGGGACCCCCGCCUGGCCUGCUGGUGAGCCUGUGUCUGUGGGUGACUGGCCUGGCGUGGGCCGGUGUCUGUUCUUGAUGUUUUGCACCCAAACAGGGGGGAUGUGGAAAAGUCCUCUCCACGCUCUACACUUGAAAAUAUCCAGGGAAGAGGGCUGGUCGGGGGGUAGGUGGCAGGACCUUCCUUCAGACACAGAAACAUCUUUCUCUGCUCCUCGGGGCACAUUUGCCACGCCUGGAGACAUUCUCGCUUGCCAAACGGCGGAUGGGGUGCUACGGGAAUCUAGUGCCUACGAGGCCUGAGAUGCUAUCUGCAUUGCAUGGGAUGGCCCCCAACCACUGGGACAAGCCCCUAUUAUCCAACCAAAACAUGAGUAGUGCUGGGGCUGGGAAACCCUGACUAAGAGUAAUGUGUAGAGUGAUGCUGUGGGUUCUUCAAACAGGCUGUCUAUUUCCAUCACCUCAGAUCUGGCUGCUUCCAGCAUGAUUGUGUAAGCUCACUGCCAAAUGCCAAAGACCAAGUUCCCUUUUAUGUGGCCUGUGAGAUGCCGAUUACGUAAUACCAUUUAAUAAACAAGAAAUGGGCAAGACGUGGAACUCUUGUGGAGCUCUGCCUCAUUCAUCCCCACCCAUUGGCAAAGCAUUAUUUCAACAUCUCAAGGCAAACGAGGCCUUCUAAGUCUCUGUGCGCCAGGCUGAUCGCGAAGCGUGGAGCGGAUUUUCUGCCCUUUCGCAGUGACGCCUCCCUGCCACCCUUUGAGGUCAGCAGCCUCCUACGUCAGUGCCUAGACAGGUAGCGGGCCAGCCCAGCAAGCCCGUGGCCCUGCGGGCUGGUGCUCAGGGGUCCUGCGUGAGCAGGGACGGGGCGGGACGGAGAGCUGGCAAGGAAGAGAAGUUUGCCUUCACAUCGCUGCAGGAGCCUCUAGAAGAAAAGUGUCCUGCCCUUCACCUUAAAGAUUUGAUUUACAAAACACAGGAAGGCAAUCCUCCCAUAAAUCAAAGCUCCUUUCUGGGGUUCCCAGAGCACUGGUGUGUGGGUGCUGCUCCGGGUAUGUUGUCAGGAGCUGCCCAGGAGGGCUCGGGGCAGUCGGGGAGGGAGGCAGGGAGGGCCUGAGAAGGGAAGGA